rnacentral:lncRNA from 1 species
UUAAUCAAAUUCUAUUGUAUACUUGAAUGACCAGAUGUACAUUUGAUGGUUGAGGAGAAAGCAUGUUCAUAUAUCAGUUUUGCUUGCACCAGAUGCUACCAAGGGCAUUGGUGUUAGUCUCUAAGAUAACCUAUCACCAAGUCAACUGUAAAACUACUCGAAUGCCCACUUACAUAACGGUAGAGGACACAAAAACGUAGUGUUACAGCUGACAAAACAAUUUGGAUACAGGCAUGUACAUGUACCCAAAGAAAACUGUAUCAGGAGCCGGCCCCCCUCCUCCUAGUCGCCGCCAUCUUGUGAGUUCAGAUCUCCAGCACGAUAUCUGGGAGAAUGGAGGUACAUAUUAGUUUGUAGGUCAGCUUGCAAGCAUUGGCACUCUGUGAGAUAAACUUACACUCUGAAUCUGUUCUGAUCCAUUUGCUCCCAUGUUCCUCACCCAUCGCUUUGCCUCUCCAAGGCAAAUGCGCCGUUCGGUAGCUCUUGAUCGUCG